rnacentral:rRNA from 1 species
GGCUCAGGAUGAACGCUAGCUACAGGCUUAACACAUGCAAGUCGAGGGGCAGCAUUUCAGUUUGCUUGCAAACUGGAGAUGGCGACCGGCGCACGGGUGAGUAACGCGUAUCCAACCUGCCGAUAACUCGGGGAUAGCCUUUCGAAAGAAAGAUUAAUACCCGAUGGCAUAAUUAGACCGCAUGGUCUUAUUAUUAAAGAAUUUCGGUUAUCGAUGGGGAUGCGCUCCAUUAGGCAGUUGGUGAGGUAACGGCUCACCAAACCUUCGAUGGAUAGGGGUUCUGAGAGGAAGGUCCCCCACAUUGGAACUGAGACACGGUCCAAACUCCUACGGGAGGCAGCAGUGAGGAAUAUUGGUCAAUGGGCGCAGGCCUGAACCAGCCAAGUAGCGUGAAGGAUGACUGCCCUAUGGGUUGUAAACUUCUUUUAUAUGGGAAUAAAGUUUUCCACGUGUGGAAUUUUGUAUGUACCAUAUGAAUAAGGAUCGGCUAACUCCGUGCCAGCAGCCGCGGUAAUACGGAGGAUCCGAGCGUUAUCCGGAUUUAUUGGGUUUAAAGGGAGCGUAGGUGGACAGUUAAGUCAGUUGUGAAAGUUUGCGGCUCAACCGUAAAAUUGCAGUUGAUACUGGCUGUCUUGAGUACAGUAGAGGUGGGCGGAAUUCGUGGUGUAGCGGUGAAAUGCUUAGAUAUCACGAAGAACUCCGAUUGCGAAGGCAGCUCACUGGACUGCAACUGACACUGAUGCUCGAAAGUGUGGGUAUCAAACAGGAUUAGAUACCCUGGUAGUCCACACAGUAAACGAUGAAUACUCGCUGUUUGCGAUAUACAGUAAGCGGCCAAGCGAAAGCAUUAAGUAUUCCACCUGGGGAGUACGCCGGCAACGGUGAAACUCAAAGGAAUUGACGGGGGCCCGCACAAGCGGAGGAACAUGUGGUUUAAUUCGAUGAUACGCGAGGAACCUUACCCGGGCUUAAAUUGCAUUUGAAUAUAUUGGAAACAGUAUAGCCGUAAGGCAAAUGUGAAGGUGCUGCAUGGUUGUCGUCAGCUCGUGCCGUGAGGUGUCGGCUUAAGUGCCAUAACGAGCGCAACCCUUAUCUUUAGUUACUAACAGGUCAUGCUGAGGACUCUAGAGAGACUGCCGUCGUAAGAUGUGAGGAAGGUGGGGAUGACGUCAAAUCAGCACGGCCCUUACGUCCGGGGCUACACACGUGUUACAAUGGGGGGUACAGAAGGCAGCUACCUGGUGACAGGAUGCUAAUCCCAAAAGCCUCUCUCAGUUCGGAUCGAAGUCUGCAACCCGACUUCGUGAAGCUGGAUUCGCUAGUAAUCGCGCAUCAGCCAUGGCGCGGUGAAUACGUUCCCGGGCCUUGUACACACCGCCCGUCAAGCCAUGAAAGCCGGGGGUACCUGAAGUACGUAACCGCAAGGAGCGUCCUAGGGUAAAACUGGUAA